GCAGAAAUGGUUCUCAGUCAGUAGCUAAUAGGAAAGGUCAGAAAAUUACUGUGGAGGAAAGGAAGCACAGCAGAAUUGUUGUUCUACGGUAGUAGGUCGCAAAUAUGAUUUAUGAAACAAUUGCAAUUAGCAACAUUCAUACCAGUUAUAUGGUAAGGUUUAGAACACAUUACUAAACUGAUGCAGAGGGACCAAUAAUGUGCUCACAGGAAACACACCCAUGCAAAUAACACGCAAGAUGCACCAUGAGGAGCAAUAAGUGAAUGCAGUCUCGCUGCUGGUGCUCACAUCUUGAUGCUUGCCAGGAGCCUUGUUGCAUUUAUGCCACAGCCUCACGGCUGGCACAUCAUUACUUGAUGGUUGUACGGGCAUCUUGCUUCUCACCAGAAAUCUUUACCACGCAUCUGUUCAAGUCACUAGGAAGAAGCACUGUCUACACCCACCUGAAAGAGAAACAGGAAGUGAGUCACCACAUCCUACGUCAGGUAGCUCACAAAACAACUGAAAAAGGAAAAGAAUAAUUUCUAAGAAGGCAAGAAAAGAGCAAAGAAUAAAUGAAACCAGGCCUUAUAGAAAUUGUAAAUGGGAGAUAGUUCCUGAACAUGCUCUUGGAGAACUGAAACAUGACGAAAAACUUUCAGAGGUCAAGAAUGAUAUUUUUAAUGGCUCCUGGAAUCUGCUUGAUUUGACAUACAAAAUUCAUAUUUAUUUGAUCUUAUAAAAUCAUAUGCUGUGAAAAGGAGGUAUGGUCAGCCCUCAGCACCAUCUUCUUAUAAUCGUAAGUGCUAUAAUUUUAACAUCGAUAUAAAUAGGUAAUUGUAGAGAGAGAGAGAGAGAGAGAUGAAUGUGUAAUGUGUGUGUGUGUGUGUGUGUGUGUGUGUGUGUGUGUGCGCGCGCACAGAAAGUUUUUUCUGGUUGUCAAAGCGGAAAAUAUAAAGACUCCCAAACUGUAUUCCUGGAAUACAGAGUCCAGGAUGUCUAUGACCAUAUCAUAGCAUACCUCCAUACGAGAUGCAUUAUAACAAAUGCAAAGCCCAAAUAAAGUGUAUUUUAAUAGUGACUUGAAUAUAACAGCAUUAUAUCAUGAUUACUUUGUAAAGUACUGUGACGAAAGAAACAUUCAAUCUGUCAGUGAAGACAAGUACACGCAGAUAUUUUGGCAAUUGUAUAGUAAUGGAUUUCAACUACCAAAGUCAGAUACUUUCAAGAAUUAUGACAAACUGCAUGUUAUACUCACCAACCUGAUGAACCCUGAAAGAAGUCCUUAAAGAAAAACAGCAGUACCCGAGGAGACCUGAAGGUUUUAGGGAGAAACUUCAAGCAUUGAAUGCCAAAGCAAAAGAUAAGCCAGGAAACAUACUCACAAUUUCUAUUGAUCUCCAGCAGACACUAUCCCACCAAAACUUCCAUCUGGUCCUACUUUUUAUAUGUGCAAAAUUUGGGCAUGUAAUGUGAGAAUUCAUUACUGCACAACAGAUGUCAACAUAACAUUUAUGUGGGAUAACAGUGUUGGUGCUAGAGGCAGCAAUGAGGUAGACAGCUAUUUACUGAAAUAGGUCCAUAAUAUGAAGAAAUAGUAUGCAGGUGGUAACUGUGGUGUCCACAAUAAAAAUUACAACAUGGUUCCCUAGUAUACUAAUUUAUCUUAACAUACGUCUUUGCAGAAACUGAACAUUACUUUCUAUUACCUGGUCACUAUUUAUUUCAUCUGAUCGAGAUGCCAAAAAAGUUGAGAAAUAUCCAAGGAAACAGUCAUACUUUUCCACAACAGGGCAGCGAAGAAAGCUCGUUUCAAAAUGUGGAUGUUAAAACAGUUUAUAAUUACACAUUUAAACAGUGAGGACUUUUUAAUUCCUACACACUGAAAACAAAGCUUAACACAGCAAAGAAAAAUAUGAUGAGGAUCAAAAUAUCACUUCAAAAAUAAUAUUGUUCUGAACUGGAUCACAAAAGCCCAACAGUAAUGAAGAUCAGACACCAAGUAAAUGCAAACUUUUUAAAUCAAACUAUAGAAAAUCCAGGAUGGAAUGUAACAAUAUUAUGAAAAGGAUAGUUGCUACUUACCAUAUAGUGGAGAUGCUGAGUCACAGGUAGGCAGGCACCACAAAAAGACUGUCAUAAAGUGAGCUUUUGGCCAGAAAAGCCUUCAUUGAAAGUAGACAAAACACUCACACACACAUGACCAAAGCCUGACCUUAGCAGCCACAAACUUUCGCCAUGUAUGUGUGAGUGGCGUGUGUUUUCGACAAAGGGCUUAUUGGCCAAAAGCUCACUUUCUGACAAUCUUUAUGUUGAGCCUAUCUGUGACCCGGUAUCUCCACCAAAUGGUGAGUAGCAACCAUCUUCUUCAAAAUAUGGUUGCAAACUUUUUAAAUGUUUCAUAACAAAAAAGUGGGAUGGAGGCAAUUUUCAACAUCUUAAAGCAGGCCAGAAAUUACAGUGGCGCACAGCAUAUGAAUUAAAAAAAAAAAAUUGAAUGAUAUAAGCAAGUUACUUGCGUGUGCACCACCUACACAUCAUGACUAUUUUGAAAGCCCUCACGUGAAUAAUGAACAAACUCGAGAUCCAGAGCCACUUUAUUAAUGUUGUGACAACAGUUAACGAAAAUAUGUUGUUUCUUUGUGAGUGUGUUAUACGUACUGCAUUGUAAUUUAUAUAUGUUUGAAGAUUUAGUUGCCUAGUAUUCAAUUUUGUAAUGCAAAAGAAAACAAAACAUUUUGUGUAGUGACUAAAUUGAGGAUGAAAACUGAUGUUGUCACAUGUGAAUGUUUCAUCAUUAUUGCAGUAACUGUUUAAUCUUUCUUGUGUUUAGAAACUUUCGUAUAUUAUUCUCCGAUUCUCCGAUGUAUUAUAGUAAUGAAAUUUUGCAAGUACUUUUUGAUGAUGAGCAUUCAACCACAAAAGUAGGGACAAUGUUACAAAUAAGAAGUUUUUUGGGACUGUCCAAAAAAUUUUUACACAUAUUGUGUAGCUAAACAAAUACUGUAACCAUCUGUAGAAAAGUUACAGUUAAAUCCAUUGUGACAUACAAUUUGUAGAUUUAACCAAACAUAUAACAUGCAAUAGCUCAAAACUAUGCUCUUGUGGGUUAGCACUUUCUUCCACCGACCCCUUCAAAUCAUAAGCUAUGAAGGAAUCAGAAUGUCUUAAAUGAAAUUUUGAAGUGCUUCUCUCUGAAUCCUGACAUUUCAUAGUACAAAAUUACAAAACUAUGAACCUGAUCCAGCAUUUGAACAAAUGAUUAAAAUCCAGUCGCUAUGUAA